rfam:Nestor notabilis contig90049, whole genome shotgun sequence.
CCAACGGCUCUUCUAAGAGCCACCCACGUUUUCUCAGAAAGGGCUG